UCUCGAAGAUUAAGCCAUGCAUGUAAAGUUCAAGCUCCGAUUAUGAGGGCGAAACCGCGAAUGGCUCAUUAAAUCAGUCGUAAUCUACUUGAUUGUUUAAAGUUUAUAUGGAUAACUGUGGUAAUUCUAGAGCUAAUACAUGCACAAAGGGGGCGACUCUGCGUUUACGCGUGGAGAAGCUCUGCGUUUAUUAGACUAAGACCAAUGGGGAUCUUCGGAUCCUCUUUAAUUAUGGUGACUCUGAGUAAAUAAUGGGUGAAAGCCCAUGUUGCUGACCUGACAUACCAAAAGGCGCCCUAAAAAGCGUCUGUCAGGCAAAUCAAUCGAGUGUCUGCUCUAUCAACUGUGGAUGGUAGGGUAAUUGCCUACCAUGGUGAUGACGGGUAACGGGGAGUUAGGGCUCGACUCCGGAGAACAAGCCUGAGAAACGGCUAGUAGGACUAAGGUCUGCAGCAGGCGCGAAACUUACACAAUGCUAGAUUUUCAUUAGCGAUGUAGUGAAGAAAAAUAACGAUGUGCUUCCGUUUAAACAUGGUAGCACAAUUGGAAUGAGACGACUCUAAACCAGUCAGUCGAGUAACAAAUGGAGGGCAAGUCUGGUGCCAGCAGCCGCGGUAAUUCCAGCUCCAUUAGCAUACAUUAAAGUUGUUGCGGUUAAAAAGCUCGUAGUUGAAUUUGAGGCGGGCUCUAUUGGGAUGCAACCGUAAAGGUUUGCCAUAGCUUCGGCUUGGUUUAAACUGGUUGUAUUUUCCCUAUAGGAACCCGUUGUUUCGUCACUUAUUCGAGUGCGAAGCGGGCCGGUGGAAGCGUAUCUUCGGAUAUUUUCAGCGGCAAGUUUACCUUGAGAAAAUUAGAGUGCUCACAGCAGGCAGUUGGGGUGUAAAAACCUCUUUAUGCUUGAAUAAUGUUGCAUGGAAUAAUAGAAUACGACCGCGGUUUUAUUCUGUUGGUCUUAUAGAACAACAAAUAAGUUGAUUGGGGCGACAAACGGUCCUCCUUGGGCGUGGUUUGGCUUAGCUAGUUGUCUAGAUUGUUGUCUGGGGCCUUAAAAUCUCAGUACCCUUCUAACUCUUAGUUAACCACUCCAUCAAAGCGCCCUUGGCUGGGCUAGCCUUCUAAUCAACUGCGGUAAUGGUUAAAAGAAAUAGUCGCGGCGGCAUCAGUACUGCAUUGUGAGAGGUGAAAUUCUUAGACCAAUGCAAGACUAACUGAAGCGAAAGCGUUUGCCGAGGAUAUUUUCAUUAAUCAAGAACGAAAGUCAGAGGUUCGAAGGCGAUCAGAUACCGCCCUAGUUCUGACCAUAAACGUUGCCAACUAGCAAUUGGGUUGCGAUUCCUUUAAUCAGGGCGUAAAAAACCCUGAUCAUUAUGAUCCACCCAGCGGCUCUCGUAGGGAAACCAAAGUGUUUGGGUUCCGGGGGAAGUAUGAUUGCAAAAUUUAAACUUAAAGGAAUUGACGGAAGGGCACCACCAGGAGUGGAGCCUGCGGCUUAAUUUGACUCAACACGGGGAAACUUACUAGAUUAGAACUCUGGAAUGAUUGACAGAUUGAUAGCUCUUUCUGAUCAGAGGAUGUGGUGGUGCAUGGCCGUUCUUGAUUCGUAUUCCGAAACGUCUGCUUAAUUGCGAUAACGAGUGAGACCUCUCCCAAUUAACUAGUCGUCCGGUGCGCUGUUGGGACGCAAAAGUUCGUAUAGGGUUUCUGUUAGGUAAGUGGGCUUCGGUUUAACUGCCUGGCUACCUAUGCGGAUGUCCUCUGCUCGCCGGCGGACUUCUUAAAGGGAUCAAUGGUGUUUUAGCCAUAAGAAACGAGGCAAUAACAGGUCUGUGAUGCCCUUAGAUAUUCUAGGCCGCACGCGUGCUACAAUGGCGUGUGCAGAAAGCUUGUUCGAGGUUCGUACAGGGAGAACUAGUCGUUUAGGGUGGAUGUUUGGUAGCAAUAUUAGAUGUUCAUUCGGCGGAAAAGUGACCCUGGUUCACGGGCCGAGAGAAACCGUUGCCGAAAGGUAACGGCAAUCAAAAAUACACGCCGUGAUUUGGGAUUGGGGAUUGCAAUUGUUGCCCAUGAACGAGGAAUUCCCAGUAAGCGCAAUUCAUCAUAUUGCGUUGAUUACGUCCCUGCCCUUUGUACACACCGCCCGUCGCUACUACCGAUUGGAAGUUUUAGUGAGGCAUCUGGACCUGCCGUCCAAGGAAGGGGCAACUCUUCCAGGCUGGCGGGGAAGUUUGUCGAACUCAAAUUUCUAGAGGAAGUAAAAGUCGUAA
rnacentral:rRNA from 1 species